rfam:Ictidomys tridecemlineatus contig023770, whole genome shotgun sequence.
GGGGUUGUGGCUCAGUGGUAGAGUACUUACCUGGCAUGUGUGAGGCCCUGGGUUCAAUCCUCAGCAUCACAU